CACAGUUUGACCUCCAAAACUGUGUCUCAGAUUUUUCCUUUUGUAUUUCAUUCUCUCAUAAAUCUUCAAUGAAGUUUGCAACAUCAAUUCAUAAGAGAUCACUAAAUUCAAUUGGGUAUAAAAUUUGUUCUAUUGAUGUUUUUGGAAAUCUGAGACACAGUUUUGGAGGUCAAGCUGUGUUGUACAAGAAUAUAUAAAAUAUUUUGGGAUGCUAUGCAGAACAAAGAAGCUAAAUUCGUUCAAGUGUGGACAUCACAAUAUAGCAACUAGUUACAUGAUAAUUAAUUAUGUCAUAAUGAAAUUAUCACAAUUUGAAAGAUUAAUCUUUCUUCUUUCUUUUGGUACCUCAUUUAUAAAAUACAAAGAAGGAUGAAAUGAAUUACAUCAGUUUAAAGUUGUCUGAUUGGGAGUGACAAAAUCUUUGUAUUGUGCUACCUUAAACUAGUGUAACAGCAUAUAAUAAUAAGGUUUAGGGCGUUCAUAUUUUAUAAAAGUACACACAAUCUUUAGAAAAUCGAUUUUUAUACAGAUUGCUUGUACUUUUACUGACUGAUAGGACCAAAUGAAAUUUCUAAUUACUUUUUUAUUUCUCAGGAUAUUUCUCUGAAAUUUGAAAUAUAAUCAGAUUAGACCAUUGUUUACAUAAAUAUAUGAAUAAUAUAACAAAAUUGUCAAAGAUAGCGGUAAUGUGUCCUGACCAACGUUGACAAUGUCAGCUGACAAACCUCCACAAUGACCGGACCAAAUGAAAAUGCUAAUUACUUUUUAGCUCACCUGGCCCAAAGGCCAAGUGAGCUUUCCUCAUCACUUGGCGUCCGUCGUCUGUCGUCGUCCGUCUUCGUUAACCGUUUUACAAAAAUCAUCAUUGGGGUAUGUAGUUUUAAAAAUGUGUCCUGUGACCUGGCCAACUGACCAAGAUGGCUACCAUGGCUAAACAUAGAACAUAGGGGUAAAAUGUAGAUUUAGGCUUAUAACUCUGCAACCAAAGCAUUUAGAGCAAAUCUGAAAUGCGGUUAAAUUCUUUAGCAAAUCAAUAUCUAUCUGCCCUGAAAUUUUCAGAUGAAUCCUACAACUGGUUGUUGGGUUGCUGCCCCUGAAUUGUUAAUUUUAAGGAAAUUUUACUGUUUUUAUACGCCCGUCGUCUUUUAGACGGGACGUAUUAUGGUAUACCGUUGUCCGUCCGUCUGUCCGUCCGUCCGUCGUCCACACUUCGGACAAUAACUCAAAAACGCUUUCACCAAUUUCCAUGAAACUUAAGCGAAUUGUUUAUAUCUAUUGACGUAAGCUCCCUUUCGUUUUUUUUUUAAUUUCAGAUUUUAAGUUUUGGAUUAAUGGGGCUUUAUUCAUAAAAAAGGGGGGAUUUUCAACACUUCGGACAAUAACUCAAAAAGGCUUUCACCAAUGUCCAUGAAACUUUGGUGAAUUGUUUAUAUCUAUUAAUGUAAGCUCCCUUUCAAUUUUU
rnacentral:lncRNA from 1 species